AGUGAACGCUGGCGGUAGGCCUAACACAUGCAAGUCGAACGGCAGCACAGUAAGAUCUUGCUCUUACGGGUGGCGAGUGGCGGACGGGUGAGGCAUACAUCGGAAUCUACUUUUUCGUGGGGGAUAACGUAGGGAAACUUACGCUAAUACCGCAUACGACCUACGGGUGAAAGCAGGGGAUCUUCGGACCUUGCGCGAUUGUAUGAGCCGAUGUCGGAUUAGCUAGUUGGCGGGGUAAAGGCCCACCAAGGCGACGAUCCGUAGCUGGUCUGAGAGGAUGAUCAGCCACACUGGAACUGAGACACGGUCCAGACUCCUACGGGAGGCAGCAGUGGGGAAUAUUGGACAAUGGGCGAAAGCCUGAUCCAGCCAUACCGCGUGAGUGAAGAAGGCCUUCGGGUUGUAAAGCCCUUUUGUUGGGAAAGAAAAGCAGCAGGUUAAUACCCCGCUGUUCUGACGGUACCCAAAGAAUAAGCACCGACUAACUUCGUG
rnacentral:rRNA from 1 species